rnacentral:lncRNA from 1 species
AUGCUCCUUCCUGAAUCACUCAAUAUGUUUUAUAUUCAAGCCAGAAACAGUUCGGGUUGUAAUAAUCUAAGGAUGAAUCUAAUCGGAAGUUAUCUUGAAAUGUUGCUGAGAUGGAAGGACUGUUCAGCUGUGAAAACACAUCUGAAUGCUAUCCUCACCUUAAAAAUAAUUGCUGGAAAGUUCCUGUUCCCCAAACCAAAAAGCAGAGAGUCCAUGUGGAAUGUGUGUGUUUAGCUGCCUAUGAAAUGGGUUAUUGAGGUGAGUCCACUGAAGAACGUAACCAUGAGUUUUAACAAGAUGUAAGGUUGCUAUCCUCGUUUCAUUGAUGCCCAAUGAUUCUAUUAUGUUCUUUGAUGGUUUGGACACCUGAGCAGGUUUUUUUUUUUGUUUUGUUUUUGUUUUUUGUCUUUUUAUUUAGGGCAGCACCCAAGGCAUACGGAGGUUCCCAGGCUAGGGGUUGAAUCGGAGCCAUAGCCACUGGCUACACCACAGCCACAGCAACUUGAGAUCAUGGCAACCCCGGAUCCUUAACCCACUGAGCGAGGCCAGGGAUUGAACCUGCAUCCUCAUGGUUACUAGUUAUAUUCAUUUAACUGCUGAGUCACAAUGGGAACUCCUGGACACCUGAGUUUUAAUAUUCUCUUUAUUUUAUUAUUCUAAUCUCUAAGUUGGGGUCAAUAAAAUGUAACCAAUUACAGGAAGGUUUGUAGUGUUUUGAUAGCUCUGAUUCUUUCAUUAAUAGUAAGCUUAUUUUUUUAAAGGGGGAAAUGAAGCAAAUAUAUAAAAAAGUGAAGUCUGGUCACUCAUGGGGAAUUUGGUGUCAAUUUAAUUGACUCCUCAUUUCAUUAUGCGCCCUUAAAUUAAUCUAUUUGGGAAAAUUUUUAAACAAGUUUUGAACUAUUAAAUAAGAUUGCCUCUUCACUGGGGAAAAGAAGAUUUUGAAAUUUAAUUGCAAUGGGUUUAAUAACAGCAAAGUCCUAUCUAAUAUAUAUUUUGAAAACCUUUGAGCAUUUAUGUUCCAUUUCAUUCACACAGACUCAUUCCUGGAAAAAAUUUUAAUCAUCUGGACCUAUAUUUCAGAUAAGUGCAAAUAUCUCAGUAUAAAACAUAUUAACAUAAUAACAUCCUAUCACUUUGGAGAAUGGCAAUUCUAUCCAUAAAAUCAUGAAAGAAAAAAAAAAUUCAAGUUGUCUACCUUUAUAGAAACAACUAUUUGAGGUAGGGUUUUCAGGGUGGCAAAAACUCAAGUUGAGCCAGAUGUUUCAAUAACCUAGAUUGAUUUUGGGUCUUUGUAGUGAAACAAAAAUCAGGUAAAUUUUUCACGACUUGAGGUUUCAUUACAGUCUCUGCUGCAUCCAAUUACUGACAGCUGCUACUCAAUCACACAUCGUGUUACAAAUUCAUACCUUCUGUUCCACAAUCAAAAUCAGUACCACACGGAGUUCCCAUCUUGGCUCAGUGGAAACAAAUCUGACUAGCAUCCAUGAGGACACAGAUUCGAUCCCCGGCCUUGCUCAGUGGGUUAAUGAUCCAGCGUUGCCAUGAGCUAUGGUGUAGGUUGCAGACGUGGCUCGGAUCCAGCAUUGCUGUUGCUGUGACGUGGGCCAGCAGCUACAACUCUGAUUAGACCCCUAGCCUGGGAACCUCCAUAUGCCUUGGGUGCAGCCCUAAAAAGACCAAAAAAAAAAAAAAGAAAAAAAGAAAAAAAAAAUCAGUUCCACAGGAGAAAUGAAAGAGAAUCUACUUUAUAUCUAGAUCCGUUUCAACUGGGGCCUCAUGCCAUUAAAUGAAUAUAAAAUAAUAUUCAGGUGAAAGGGAUAUUCAAUAAGUUAACACACAUGAGAGAAGCCAUAAUUUGAAAAUUAUUUGUAAAGUCUUGGAAAUGAUUAAUGCUUUUUCAAUGCCAUAUAGAAAUUAACUUAUUUUUUAAAAUUUCAAAUAAUAGGGGAAGCUUAGUUAUAUAUGCAUAGUAUAGAUACACACAUAUUAUGUAUAUAUGUAUUUGUGUAUGUGUGUGUAUAUAUAUGAAAAUAUACACACUCUAAAGAGAAGUUAAUAAUCCACCCACCUGAGGCAGGCAAUUCUGGAAAAAAAAAAGUCAAGUAAGGUAAAGAAAUAGAGGUAGAGAGUACACUUUUCCCAUCUGGUACUGUUUUCUAGAGUUAUGCUUUUACUGGUCCUAGGGAUUCUAUGGUUGUUUUAAAGAUGCCAUCAUGGGGAUUAGGCUAAAUAGUGAAAGUACUUAUUUAUAUAUUAAGACCCCUUGAAAUAUUUUCUUUGGCUCUUAUUACAAUAAAUACUGCAGGGUUUUUUUGGUUUUUGGUUUUUUUUUUUUGUCUUUUUAGGGCCGCAUCCACAGCAUAUGGAGGUUCUCAGGCCAGGGGUCGAAUCAGAGCUGUAGCUGCUGGCCUAUGCCACAGCAACAGCAACGCAGGUUGUUACAUCUGUGACCUACAACACAGCUCAUGGCAAUGCCAGAUCCUUAACCCACGGAGCGAGGCCAGGGAUUGAAGCUGUGUCCUCAUGGAUACCAGUCAGAUUUGUUUCUGCUGAGCCAUGACAGGAACUCCAACACUUGUAGUUUUGAAGAGCAUGAUGUGGGGAGUUAGUUGUGUCAUUAACCCAGCACUCACUAUGAUGUGCAUUUCGGUGCUCGUGUCCAGAGCACACAUGAAGUCCUGUGCUGGGAGCAGAAGCAAUGAUCAUGUUAAAUAAUAUGCAUCAAGCCAUUAUAUUUCAGAAUGAUUUAACUAGCAGUGUUGUAUUUUUCUAGGCCUAUCAUUAUGUCAAGGCUUAGGCUACAGGCCUUCUACUUAUGGUUUGAACAAACCCUGGAACUGUCUUCCUAGGUGGUAACACAGGAUUAGCAAAUCUCAAGAAGUCUAGGAGGCAACCCCACAGAUCUCAAUGUGUGGGGAUCAGAAUUACCCAGAGGAGUCUUUGACACCUCAGGGAACCUUGCCCUGUGAUGAAAUGUGUCCUUGCUGAAGCCACAUGGAAUCUGCUCUCUGAAACCCUCAGUUUUAGGGAAAGUUUUCAAGUCAAAAUGUUUUCUUUGCUUCAGUGCAGGGCUGCUGUCAAAGAAAUAAUCUCCUCUCAGGGCCUCAACAGCACUGGCCUGUGAUCAGGAGUUCUUGGCUGCUGUCUGUGUUAUGAGUGAAAGCCUACUUCUGGCCUCAUCUGUCUCCUUACCUACCCACCCAGUUACAACUGCCCUGUCCUCAGGAGGGACAGGAGCCCUGUAGGUAACCCCACGUCUGACCCCUGAUGCUACGACCAAACCGUUGUCCAUGUCAGACUGAUAUGCCCUCAGUGAAGGCACGCCUUGCUUCUUUAUGUAUUGUAUUCAUGAUCUGCUAGAACAUCACUCCAUGCAAAUUGAACAUAAAAACAUCUUUGUUCUUGUUAUUGCAAACAAUCUUUUUUUAAAAAAUCAUACUCAAUGUUGUCGAUCACUAGAGUAGCUUUGCCUAGCUUAGAGAAAAAGCCUUUUCUUGGGACGAAGGGAAGCCAUUCUGUGUUUAUUUCUAUGAUAUGUAAUUCUUCCAGUCCAUCUGAGAAAGCAUUAGCUAUGCGAUCUAUGCUCUUUCUCAAGGACACAUUUCCCAGUAAAUCCGUAGCCAUGCAGAUAAAAAUAGGAUACCUGUUACAAAGUAGGAUAACAGGUUGAAUCCACAAUUAUUUAAGCACAAAUGUGUGAAAUGUCCAAGCACCUUCAAAAGGUAAACAGACAAUUUUUAGAAUAGUCAUUUGAAUAGGGGCAUCAGAAGCAAUCAUGUAGGAAAGGGUUUAUGUGUAAAAGGAAAUUUUGUCUUUUAGCCCUGUAUUUUUGACACUUGACUCCCAUUAUGUAGUAAAAUUAGAGAGUUUCUAAAAAUUCGGUGAAUUAUGGACCCUACCCAGGACUUACAGAAUCAAUAUUUCUAAGUUGAGACUUAGGAACUUGUGCUUUAUUUAUUUAUUUAUUUAUUUAUUUAUUUUUAGAGGUGCACCUGUGGCAUAGGGAAGUAUUCAGGCUAGGUGUCAAAUCAGAACUGUA